rnacentral:rRNA from 1 species
AUACGGAGGGUGCAAGCGUUACUCGGAAUCACUGGGCGUAAAGCGCGCGCAGGCGGUCUUUUAAGUUGGAUGUGAAAGCCUAGGGCUCAACCGUAGAACUGCAUCCAAAACUAUUAGACUAGAGUGUGGGAGAGGAAGAUGGAAUUAGUUGUGUAGGGGUAAAAUCCGUAGAGAUAACUAGGAAUACCAAAAGCGAAGGCAAUCUUCUGGAACACUACUGACGCUGAGGCGCGAAAGCGUGGGGAGCAAACAGGAUUAGAUACCCUAGUAGUCC